rnacentral:rRNA from 1 species
AGUGAACGCUGGCGGUAGGCCUAACACAUGCAAGUCGAACGGCAGCACAGUAAGAGCUUGCUCUUACGGGUGGCGAGUGGCGGACGGGUGAGGAAUACAUCGGAAUCUACUUUUUCGUGGGGGAUAACGUAGGGAAACUUACGCUAAUACCGCAUACGACCUACGGGUGAAAGCAGGGGAUCUUCGGACCUUGCGCGAUUGAAUGAGCCGAUGUCGGAUUAGCUAGUUGGCGGGGUAAAGGCCCACCAAGGCGACGAUCCGUAGCUGGUCUGAGAGGAUGAUCAGCCACACUGGAACUGAGACACGGUCCAGAAUCCUAAGGGAGGCAGCAGUGGGGAAUAUUGGACAAGGGGCGCAAGCCUGAUCCAGCCAUACCGCGUGGGUGAAGAAGGCCUUCGGGUUGUAAAGCCCUUUUGUUGGGAAAGAAAAGCAGCAGGUUAAUACCCCGCUGUUCUGACGGUACCCAAAGAAGAAGCACCGGCUAACUUCGU